GGGUGAGUAACACGUGGGCAAUCUGCCCUUCACUCUGGGACAAGCCCUGGAAACGGGGUCUAAUACCGGAUACCACUUCCACUCGCAUGGGUGGGGGUUGAAAGCUCCGGCGGUGAAGGAUGAGCCCGCGGCCUAUCAGCUUGUUGGUGAGGUAACGGCUCACCAAGGCGACGACGGGUAGCCGGCCUGAGAGGGCGACCGGCCACACUGGGACUGAGACACGGCCCAGACUCCUACGGGAGGCAGCAGUGGGGAAUAUUGCACAAUGGGCGAAAGCCUGAUGCAGCGACGCCGCGUGAGGGAUGACGGCCUUCGGGUUGUAAACCUCUUUCAGCAGGGAAGAAGCGAAAGUGACGGUACCUGCAGAAGAAGCGCCGGCUAACUACGUGCCAGCAGCCGCGGUAAUACGUAGGGCGCAAGCGUUGUCCGGAAUUAUUGGGCGUAAAGAGCUCGUAGGCGGCUUGUCACGUCGGGUGUGAAAGCCCGGGGCUUAACCCCGG
rnacentral:rRNA from 1 species